rnacentral:rRNA from 1 species
UGGGGAAUCUUCCGCAAUGGACGAAAGUCUGACGGAGCAACGCCGCGUGAGUGAAGAAGGUUUUCGGAUCGUAAAACUCUGUCUUUUGGGGCGAACGUGAGUAUGGUGAACAAUCAUAGUCAGUGACGGUACCAAAGGAGGAAGCCACGGCUAACUACGUGCCAGCAGCCGCGGUAAUACGUAGGUGGCAAGCGUUGUCCGGAAUUAUUGGGCGUAAAGAGCGCGUAGGCGGGAUAGUCAGUCUGUUGUAAAGUGCGGGGCUCAACCCCGUGAUCGCAAUGGAAACAGCUAUUCUUGAGUGCAGGAGAGGAAAGUGGAAUUCCCAGUGUAGCGGUGAAAUGCGUAGAUAUUGGGAGGAACACCAGUGGCGAAGGCGACUUUCUGGACUGUGUCUGACGCUGAGGCGCGAAAGCCAGGGGAGCGAACGGGAUUAGAUACCCCGGUAGUCCUGGCCGUAAACGAUGGGUACUAGGUGUGGGAGGUAUCGACCCCUUGCCGUGCCGGAGUUAACGCAAUAAGUACCCCGCCUGGGGAGUACGGUCGCAAGACUGAAACUUAAAUGAAUUGACGGGGGUCAUAGCUGUUUCCUG